CGAACGCUGGCGGCGCGCCUAACACAUGCAAGUCGAACGGAGCUGAGAGAAGCUUGCUUUUCUUAGCUUAGUGGCGAACGGGUGAGUAACGCGUGAGUAACCUGCCCUGGAGUGGGGGACAACAGUUGGAAACGACUGCUAAUACCGCAUAAGCCCACGAUCCGGCAUCGGAUUGAGGGAAAAGGAUUUAUUCGCUUCAGGAUGGACUCGCGUCCAAUUAGCUAGUUGGUGAGGUAACGGCCCACCAAGGCGACGAUUGGUAGCCGGACUGAGAGGUUGAACGGCCACAUUGGGACUGAGACACGGCCCAGACUCCUACGGGAGGCAGCAGUGGGGGAUAUUGCACAAUGGGGGAAACCCUGAUGCAGCGACGCCGCGUGGAGGAAGAAGGUUUUCGGAUUGUAAACUCCUGUCGUGAGGGACGAUAAUGACGGUACCUAACAAGAAAGCACCGGCUAACUACGUG
rnacentral:rRNA from 1 species